rnacentral:misc_RNA from 1 species
AACACCUCAAAGCUUUUGAUUUUUUUUAAAAGUUUUGGACUUGAGCAAUCCCAACACCGGUCUUUUACAGAUCGGCGGCGGGUUGCUUGAAAUGCAGGUGCAGCUGGACAUUCUCCUGAGCUAAAAGCAUAUUUAUUUAGUCCCGUCAAACGGAUUAUUACUUUUGCUGCAGCUAAUAUAAAGGGAGUUUGACCGUAUUGGCUGACUGAUGCAGGAUUUCACAAGGGUCGGCAACGAUUCUUGUAAAAC